AGCGAACGCUGGCGGCAGGCCUAACACAUGCAAGUCGAACGAACUCUUCGGAGUUAGUUGCGGACGGGUGAGUAACACGUGGGAACGUUCCUUUUGGUUCGGAAUAACUCAGGGAAACUUGUGCUAAUACCGAAUGUGCCCUUCUGGGGAAAGAUUUAUCGCCAUUAGAGCGGCCCGCGUCUGAUUAGCUAGUUGGUGAGGUAACGGCUCACCAAGGCUACGAUCAGUAGCUGGUCUGAGAGGAUGACCAGCCACACUGGGACUGAGACACGGCCCAGACUCCUACGGGAGGCAGCAGUGGGGAAUCUUGCGAAAUGGGCGAAAGCAUGAAGCAGCCAUGCCGCGUGAAUGAUGAAGGUCUUAGGAUUGUAAAAUUCUUUCACCGGGGACGAUAAUGACGGUACCCGGAGAAGAAGCCCCGGCUAACUUCGUG
rnacentral:rRNA from 1 species